GCAGGGAUGCCUGAGUGGUCAAAAGGGCUGGGCUUAGGACCCAGUGGCUUAGUGCCUUCGAGGGUUCGAAUCCCUCUCCCUGCA
rnacentral:tRNA from 1 species